rnacentral:rRNA from 1 species
UACGUAGGUGGCAAGCGUUGUCCGGAUUUACUGGGCGUAAAGAGCGCGCAGGCGGUCAGAUAAGUCGAAUGUGAAAUCCCCCGGCUCAACCGGGGAAUGGCUGGAUAUACUGGCGGUCUUGAGCAGUUCAGGGGCAGAUGGAACAGACGGUGGAGCGGUGAAAUGCGUAGAUAUCGUCUGGAACGCCAAAGGUGAAGACAGUCUGCUGGGAACUUGCUGACGCUGAGACACGAAAGCCAGGGGAGCGAACGGG